UACACUCCUGCGGGAGGCAGCAGUGGGGAAUUUUGGACAAUGGGCGAAAGCCUGAUCCAGCCAUGCCGCGUGCAGGAUGAAGGCCUUCGGGUUGUAAACUGCUUUUGUACGGAACGAAACGGCCUUUUCUAAUAAAGAGGGCUAAUGACGGUACCGUAAGAAUAAGCACCGGCUAACUACGUGCCAGCAGCCGCGGUAAUACGUAGGGUGCAAGCGUUAAUCGGAAUUACUGGGCGUAAAGCGUGCGCAGGCGGUUAUGUAAGACAGUUGUGAAAUCCCCGGGCGCAACCUGGGAACUGCAUCUGUGACUGCAUAGCUAGAGUACGGUAGAGGGGGAUGGAAUUCCGCGUGUAGCAGUGAAAUGCGUAGAUAUGCGGAGGAACACCGAUGGCGAAGGCAAUCCCCUGGACCUGUACUGACGCUCAUGCACGAAAGCGUGGGGAGCAAACAGGAUUAGAAACCCUGGUAGUCCCAUG
rnacentral:rRNA from 1 species